UACGUAGGGUGCGAGCGUUAAUCGGAAUUACUGGGCGUAAAGCGUGCGCAGGCGGCUUACUAAGACAGGUGUGAAAGCCCCGAGCUUAACUUGGGAAUGGCGCUUGUGACUGGUAGGCUGGAGUGUGGCAGAGGGAGGUGGAACUCCACGUGUAGCAGUGAAAUGCGUAGAGAUGUGGAGGAACACCGAUGGCGAAGGCAGCCUCCUGGGCCAGCACUGACGCUCAUGCACGAAAGCGUGGGGAGCAAACAGG
rnacentral:rRNA from 1 species